ACAAGCCUGAGAAACGGCUAGUAGGACUAAGGUCUGCAGCAGGCGCGAAACUUACACAAUGCUAGAUUACAAUUAGCGAUGUAGUGAAGAAAAAUAACGAUGUAUUUCCAUUUAAACAUGGUAGUACAAUUGGAAUGAGACGACUUUAAAUCAGUUAGUCGAGUAACAAAUGGAGGGCAAGUCUGGUGCCAGCAGCCGCGGUAAUUCCAGCUCCAUUAGCAUACAUUAAAGUUGUUGCGGUUAAAAAGCUCGUAGUUGAAUUUUAGGCGGGCUCUAUUGGGGUGCAAUCGUUAAGGUCCUCUGGUCAUAGGUUCGCCCUAUCUAGUCGGACUGGUUGUCAUCUUCCUAUAGGAACUCGCUGUUUCGUCACUUAAUCGAGUGCGAAGCGGGCUGGAACGAGGGUACGACUUCGGUCUACCUUGUCUCAGCAUCUUUACCUUGAGAAAAUUAGAGUGCUCACAGCAGGCAGUUGGGGUGUAAAAGCUCCUUUAUGCUUGAAUAAUGUUGCAUGGAAUAAUAGAAUACGGCCUCGGUUCUAUUCUGUUGGUCUUAUAGAACAACAAACAAGUUGGUUAAAGCGAUCAAAAGUCUAUAUGUGAGUGUGGUCUAGUGGUAGCUUCUUAGUUGCUGGUUAACUUCCGGCUGUGUCUUGUUGCCUAGGGCCAAAAUCCUAGAGCCUUACGCUCCGGCUUGUUGCCUUCUUUACUAAUUAGCACGCCACUUUUCCAUCCAAAGCAUUCCUUAUACGACUAGCUUCUAAUCAACUGAGGCAAUGGUUAAAAGAAAUAGUCGCGGCGGCAUCAGUACUGCAUCGUGAGAG
rnacentral:rRNA from 1 species